rnacentral:rRNA from 1 species
GAUGAACGNUGGCGGCGUGCUUAACACAUGCAAGUCGAACGGACUUUUAUUGAAGCCUAGCGAUAUAAAAGUUAGUGGCGGACGGGUGAGUAACGCGUGAAUAACCUGCCUUAUACUGGGGGACAACAGUUGGAAACGACUGCUAAUACCGUAUAAGCGCACGGUUCCGCAUGGAACAGUGUGAAAAACUCCGGUGGUAUAAGAUGGAUUCGCGUCUGAUUAGAUAGUUGGUGAGGUAACGGCUCACCAAGUCGACGAUCAGUAGCCGGCCUGAGAGGGUGAACGGCCACAUUGGGACUGAGACACGGCCCAAACUCCUACGGGAGGCAGCAGUCGGGAAUAUUGCACAAUGGAGGAAACUCUGAUGCAGUGACGCCGCGUACAGGAAGAAGGUCUUUGGAUUGUAAACUGUUGUCGAGAGGGAAGAAUAAAGACAGUACCUCUGGAGGAAGCUCCGGCAAACUACGUG